GACGAACGCUGGCGGCGUGCUUAACACAUGCAAGUCGAACGGAAAGGCCUGCUUUCCCUUGUGUAUUGCGGGUACUCGCGUGGCGAACGGGUGAGUAACACGUGAGUGAUCUGCCCCCAACUUUUGUAUAAGCUUGGGAAACUGCGUCUAAUUCCCGAUAGGACUGCAGGGUGGUGCCUGUGGUGGCAAACGUUUUUCUAGUGGUUGGGGAUGAGCUCGUGGCCUAUCAGCUUGUCGGUGGGGUAAUGGCCUACCAAGGCGGCGACGGGUAGCCGGCCUGGGAGGGUGGACGGCAACAUUGGGACUGAGAUACGGCGCAGACUCCUACGGGAGGAAGCAGUGGGGAAGAUGGCACGAUGGGCGGAAGCCUGAUGCAGCGACGCCGAGUGGGGGAUGACGGCCUUCGGGUGGUAAACUCCUUGCGACCGAGAGGAAGCCACCUGGUUGGAAGGGUGGUGACGGUAGUGGUAGAAGAAGCACCGGCUAACUACGUG
rnacentral:rRNA from 1 species